GAUCAUGGCUCAGGAUGAACGCUAGCUACAGGCUUAACACAUGCAAGUCGAGGGGCAGCAUGGUCUUAGCUUGCUAAGGCCGAUGGCGACCGGCGCACGGGUGAGUAACACGUAUCCAACCUGCCGUCGUACUCUUGGACAGCCUUCUGAAGGAAGAUUAAUACAAGAUGGCAUCAUGAGUUCACAUGUUCACNUGAUUAAAGGUAUUCCGGUAGACGAUGGGGA
rnacentral:rRNA from 1 species